AUAUCAUAUGAAUUUCUAAACUUUCAAUAGUUUCAUCAGGUUCUAUGGAGGAACCUAGUUCAUGAGUGAUUGCCUUAGGUGUGGGUGUGGAUGUUAGUUUGUGAAACUAUAUGGCAGGGGAACAAAUUAUAAUUUGUUAGAACUAUGCUGGAAGUGAUGGUGUGCAAAAAUUUCAUCUCUGUGACCAGCGAUGUCUCCCAAUGGUAUGAUAUUGAUCUAUCCACAAAAUUUGAUAUUAGCUCCAUUUUUAAUUUAAUAUUAAGGAUAGUUACAUCUAAGAAACAACAAUUUAUCCUAAAUUACUCUAUUGAGACCCUUUUACCCAAUUCAUUUCUAAUGUCCCUCUUGAGACCCCUAUCCCAUUACCUUUUUCAUUAGCAUAAAAGGAACUAAUUAAUGCUGGUUCUUAUUAACCAUCUAUUUUUAUCAUGGACAAUAACUUUCAACAAUUCUUAGUUCGUUGGGUAGGGUGACAUGAUUCUAAUUGUACUUGGAUCACUAGAAAUACAUUUUAGCAAAUUGAUCCUGAUUCAUGAGAGUUCUAUCAAAGCCACUAAGAGCCCCAUUUGAAGAGGUUGAGUUUCUCUAAUAAUAGGAGAGGUGGUGAGGGCAUUGCCACUGGGUCACAUAUCACAAAUAUGUUUGGUUGAAGACAACAAAUGAUAGCCAAACCCAUCACUCUUUAGCUGGGAGAUUGAGUAUGCCUGUGUGUGUUUUAGUGGACUUUAAUUUAGUUUCAUUAUUGAACUUGAUUAAUCCUAUUUUAGACUUCAUCUUAGUUCAAUUGUUGGUAAUAUUUGGAUUAGAGUUUGCAUUAGACCAUGUAAGUAUAUUUUUCUACAGGAUUGAUACUUUUUGAUGAUUGAUUAU